GCUUCUAUAUGCAAGAGAGCGAACUUUAUGACAUAGUCUAAGGUGGAGGCAUCAUUUUCUGGCACAACAACAUUUUCCUACUUGAGUAAUGGCCUUCGGCCGUAUCCCGCAAGUCGGCCCUCCAUCCCAUGGCUUCAGCUAUUUCUUUUAUCUCUUCAACGAUAAAUUUGGAGUCCCGGAUGUAUGCAUAUCCACCAGGUCUUAGAAUUCGG
rnacentral:misc_RNA from 1 species